GGCUCAGGAUGAACGCUGGCGGCGUGCCUAAUACAUGCAAGUCGAGCGAAUUGACAGAGAUGCUUGCAUCUCUCGAUUUUAGCGGCGGACGGGUGAGUAACACGUGGGUAACCUACCUAUAAGACUGGGAUAACUUCGGGAAACCGGAGCUAAUACCGGAUAAUAUUUAGCUUCGCAUGAAGCAAUAGUGAAAGACGGUUUUGCUGUCACUUAUAGAUGGACCUGCGGUGUAUUAGCUAGUUGGUGAGGUAACGGCUCACCAAGGCAACGAUACAUAGCCGACCUGAGAGGGUGAUCGGCCACACUGGGACUGAGACACGGCCCAGACUCCUACGGGAGGCAGCAGUAGGGAAUCUUCCGCAAUGGACGAAAGUCUGACGGAGCAACGCCGCGUGAGUGAAGAAGGUUUUCGGAUCGUAAAACUCUGUUGUAAGGGAAGAACAAGUACGUUAGUAACUGAACGUACCUGACGGU
rnacentral:rRNA from 1 species